UACAGAGGCCUCGAGCGUUAGGCGGAAUCACUGGGCUUAAAGCGUGUGUAGGUGGAUGCCUAAGUACCUUGUGAAAUCCCACGGCUUAACCGUGGAACUGCUGGGUAUACUGGAUGUCUUGAGCCACUCAGGGGCUACCGGAACAAAUGGUGGAGCGGUGAAAUGCGUAGAUAUCAUUUGGAACGCCAAUGGUGAAAACAGGUAGCUGGGGGUGUGCUGACACUGAGACACGAAAGCCAGGGGAGCAAACGGG
rnacentral:rRNA from 1 species